GACGAACGCUGGCGGCGUGCUUAACACAUGCAAGUCGAACGGAAAGGCCCUGCUUUUGUGGGGUGCUCGAGUGGCGAACGGGUGAGUAACACGUGAGUAACCUGCCCUUGACUUUGGGAUAACUUCAGGAAACUGGGGCUAAUACCGGAUAGGAGCUCCUGCUGCAUGGUGGUGGUUGGAAAGUUUCGGCGGUUGGGGAUGGACUCGCGGCUUAUCAGCUUGUUGGUGGGGUAGUGGCUUACCAAGGCUUUGACGGGUAGCCGGCCUGAGAGGGUGACCGGCCACAUGGGGACUGAGAUACGGCCCAGACUCCUACGGGAGGCAGCAGUGGGGAAUAUUGCACAAUGGGCGGAAGCCUGAUGCAGAAACGCCGCGUGCGGGAUGACGGCCUUCGGGUUGUAAACCGCUUUCGCCUGUGACGAAGCGGGAGUGACGGUAAUGGGUAAAGAAGCACCGGCUAACUACGUG
rnacentral:rRNA from 1 species